GUAGUUCAGCUGGUUAGAAUGCCGCCCUGUCACGGCGGAGGUCGCGGGUUCGAGCCCCGUCCGCUGCGCCA
rnacentral:tRNA from 1 species